AUUGAACGCUGGCGGCAGGCCUAACACAUGCAAGUCGAGCGGAUGAAGGGAGCUUGCUCCUGGAUUCAGCGGCGGACGGGUGAGUAAUGCCUAGGAAUCUGCCUGGUAGUGGGGGAUAACGUCCGGAAACGGGCGCUAAUACCGCAUACGUCCUGAGGGAGAAAGUGGGGGAUCUUCGGACCUCACGCUAUCAGAUGAGCCUAGGUCGGAUUAGCUAGUUGGUGGGGUAAAGGCCUACCAAGGCGACGAUCCGUAACUGGUCUGAGAGGAUGAUCAGUCACACUGGAACUGAGACACGGUCCAUAGUCCUACGGGAGGCAGCAGUGGGGAAUAUUGGACAAUGGGCGAAAGCCUGAUCCAGCCAUGCCGCGUGUGUGAAGAAGGUCUUCGGAUUGUAAAGCACUUUAAGUUGGGAGGAAGGGCAGUAAGUUAAUACCUUGCUGUUUUGACGGUACCAACAGAAUAAGCACCGGCUAACUUCGUG
rnacentral:rRNA from 1 species